AUUGAACGCUGGCGGCAGGCCUAACACAUGCAAGUCGAACGGUAACAGGAAGAAGCUUGCUUCUUUGCUGACGAGUGGCGGACGGGUGAGUAAUGUCUGGGAAACUGCCUGAUGGAGGGGGAUAACUACUGGAAACGGUAGCUAAUACCGCAUAACGUCGCGAGACCAAAGAGGGGGACCUUCGGGCCUCUUGCCAUCGGAUGUGCCCAGAUGGGAUUAGCUAGUAGGUGGGGUAACGGCUCACCUAGGCGACGAUCCCUAGCUGGUCUGAGAGGAUGACCAGCCACACUGGAACUGAGACACGGUCCAGACUCCUACGGGAGGCAGCAGUGGGGAAUAUUGCACAAAGGGCGCAAGCCUGAUGCAGCCAUGCCGCGUGUAUGAAGAAGGCCUUCGGGUUGUAAAGUACUUUCAGCGGGGAGGAAGGGAGUAAAGUUAAUACCUUUGCUCAUUGACGUUACCCGCAGAAGAAGCACCGGCUAACUCCGUG
rnacentral:rRNA from 1 species